UACGAGGGGGCGAGCGUUGUUCGGAAUUAUUGGGCGUAAAGGGUGCGUAGGCGGUUUGGUAAGUCUUAUGUGAAAUCUACAGGCUCAACUUGUAGUCUGCAUGAGAAACUGCCGGGCUUGAGUAUGGGAGAGGUGAGUGGAAUUCCUGGUGUAGCGGUGAAAUGCGUAGAUAUCAGGAGGAACACCUGUGGCGAAAGCGGCUCACUGGACCAUAACUGACGCUGAUGCACGAAAGCUAGGGGAGCAAACAGG
rnacentral:rRNA from 1 species